rnacentral:lncRNA from 1 species
CCCGCGCUCCUCCGGGCAGAGCGCGUGUGGCGGCCGAGCACAUGGGCCCGCGGGCCGGGCGGGCUCGGGGCGGCCGGGACGAGGAGGGGCGACGACGAGCUGCGAGCAAAGAUGUGCCCCGGGACCCCCGGCACCUUCCAGUGGAUUUCCUUGCGGAAAGGAUGUUGGCGGUCCCUGUGACCUGUGGAGACACGGCCAGAUCUGCCCUCCAGCCUGAUCUUUUGGCCAGAAGGAGAUUAAAAAGAUGCCCCUCAAGAUGGCUGUGCCUGUCAGCUGCAUGGAGCUUCGUUCAAGUAUUUUCUGAGCCUGAUGGAUUUACAGUGAUCUUCAGUGGUCUGGGGAAUAACGCUGGUGGAACCAUGCACUGGAAUGACACACGCCCGGCACAUUUCAGGAUACUAAAAGUGGUUUUAAGGGAGGCUGUGGCUGAAUGCCUCAUGGAUUCUUACAGCUUGGAUGUCCAUGGGGGACGAAGGACUGCAGCUGGCUGAGAGGGUUGAGAUCUCUGUUUACUUAGAUCUCUGCCAACUUCCUUUGGGUCUCCCUAUGGAAUGUAAGACCCCGACUCUUCCUGGUGAAGCAUCUGAUGCACGUUCCAUCCGGCGCUCAGCUGGGCUUGAGCUGACCAUACUCCCUGGAGCCUUCUCCCGAGGUGCGCGGGUGACCUUGGCACAUACAGCCAUCAUGAUGGUACUUUAAGUGGAGGCUGAAUCAUCUCCCCUUUGAGCUGCUUGGCACGUGGCUCCCUUGGUGUUCCCCUUUUACUGCCAGGACACUGAGAUUUGGAGAGAAUCCUGUUACACCUGGGAUUUAGGCACUUUCAAUCUGAAAAAAUACAUAUCCUUUCAGCACUCUGGACGGACUUGAGAACUGUCCUUACGUGACCUAAAGCUGGAGUAUUUUGAGAUUGGAGAAUUAAGGCCUUCAGUGGGUUGAAUGAGGCCCAACCCACAUUGAAGAGGACCAUCUGCUUUACUCAGUCUCCUGGUUGAAGUGAUAAUCUCAUCUGGACAUACUCAGAAAUGCUGUUUAACCAGCUCUCUGGAAAUCCUGUGGCCCAGUCAAGUUGACACACAAAAUUAACCAUCACACUGCAGAGACACAGUCUAUCCCAAUACCUGUAUUUACUGGGCCAACAGAGAUUUUGAGAAACACAUUGAAGGAUCUGUUAACACUUGAUAUACCCAAUAAAAGCAGUGGUUGUGCCAGUGCUGAUCUGUCUUGAUGUGAAUGUGAACAAUGGGAACCUGAGCUGAGCAGUUAAUGCUAGGGUGACAGAAACUGGACCUCUCCCAAGACAUGUGACAGAGUAAUACAGCAGCCAACUUCUUCGCCAAAUUAAAGUUUUACAAGAUUUAACCUGUCAUCAAGACCUGGGAUUUUGGUGAGCCAGUCUUGGUGCUCUGUGUUCACCUGGUUCAUCUGAGGAGCUGCAUCUACCCUGCCCAUGCCAUAGAUCCUGCCCUGUUUGCUUCUCCUGUUGCUGCUAGUGGACAUGAGGUAACCACAGCCUAGUUCUGUGAUAAGCUCUUCACACCUGUACCCAUAUGGACUGUGGGAGAGUUUCUCUGAUAUGGACUGUGAUGCGGAAGGACAGAAUAACGGGCUCCCAGAUUCACAAGCCCCACCAAGAGGAUCACCCCAGGAACGCUUGGAGGCUGAGGAGUUCACUGAGGCUACUGCAUCUUGAGACUCAGGAUGAAGACCCAGCUUGGGGCUGUCAAAGGUUUUUUGCAUGUCUGACACCCAUGACUCCACCUGGACCUUAUGGCUCCACCCAGAAGCAAUUCAGCCCAACAGGAGGACAGCUUCAACCCAUUACGAUUUCAUCUCUGCCCCAACCACUCAGCAGCAAGCACCUGUUACCUGUCCACCCCCACCCCUUCCCCCAAACUGCCUUUGAAAAAUCCCUAACCUAUGAGCUUUGAAUAAGAUGAGUACGAACUUCAUCGCCCACGUGGCGUGGCCGGCCUCGUGUCUAUUAAAUUCUUUUUCUACUACAA